ensembl:lncRNA
GAGAGAGACACGGGGAGAUACACAAGGGUGAGCGGGAGACACCGGGAGAUCCACAAGGGUGAGCGGGAGACACCGGGAGAUCCACAAAGGUGAGAGAGACUCAAACACACUGAUUCACUGUAGCAAAACGUUUUGCAAUGGAAAGGGAAACAUUUUUGUGCAAAAAUUCUAUUGGACAAAUUCAAGUUCCUUCUCCAUUUUGUUCUGUUUGCUUCCAUUUUUGUUCCUAGUGAAUACACCCCUGAAGUCUAUGCUCACACACUUGGGUCAUAUUCAUUAGGAACCAAACAGAAACAAAUGGGCCCGAAGUAGGAGGGACUAUCCAAUAAUAAUACACUUGUUUUCCGUUUGCAAAACAUUUUGCAACAGUACUUUGCAGCAAUGAACAAGGACCCUGAGAUCUCUGCUGGAACACAGGUGACUUGAAGAAACAUCAACAUAUCCACAGCAGUGCUUCUUUCCAUAAAGUAGCUGGGUAUUUACAUGUGUAUUAUUAUGUAAUAAAC